AUUGAACGCUGGCGGCAUGAUUUACACAUGCAAGUCGAACGGUGACAGGCCGCAAGGUGCUGACGAGUGGCGAACGGGUGAGUAAUGCAUCGGAACGUGCCCAGUCGUUGGGGAUAACUACUCGAAAGAGUAGCUAAUACCGCAUACGAUCUAUUGAUGAAAGCGGGGGACCGUAAGGCCUCGCGCGAUUGGAGCGGCCGAUGUCAGAUUAGGUAGUUGGUGGGGUAAAGGCUCACCAAGCCAACGAUCUGUAGCUGGUCUGAGAGGACGACCAGCCACACUGGGACUGAGACACGGCCCAGACUCCUACGGGAGGCAGCAGUGGGGAAUUUUGGACAAUGGGCGCAAGCCUGAUCCAGCAAUGCCGCGUGCAGGAAGAAGGCCUUCGGGUUGUAAACUGCUUUUGUACGGAACGAAACGGCUCUGGUUAAUACCCGGGGCUCAUGACGGUACCGUAAGAAUAAGCACCGGCUAACUACGUG
rnacentral:rRNA from 1 species